AAAUUUCUAAUUUUGAAUUUAAAAUCAAAAUUAUGAUUCACUCCAUUCUUUGUUUUCAGUUUUAUCUCUUCCUCCUCUUCUUCUUCGGUUCUUCUCCUUCUUCACCUUCUUCACCUUUAGUUCCUCUUCCUUUUUUCUCCUCCAUUCAUUGAUUCUGUUUUUGUAUAAUCUUCUUCUUCUUCCUAAUUUAAGUUGGAGGUGGAGAUUAUAGAGUUCAUGUAAGCACCAAGGCAAAAUUACGACCGUGGAUGAGGUUGUGACAGCUAUGGUGGUGGAUCAUAAUAUGGCGGCGGUGUUGCAGUGGGUGCGGUGGAGUUUGUGGUGGUCAUCGAUGAUGUGGUGAUGGAUACGGAAGAGGCAACGGCGGAAGAGAGCAAAUCGAUGGAAAGUACUGAGUCGCGCGGCCACAGAGAGCACAUGCAGUGACACUCUGAAAGAGAGCACAACAGCGAUUUGAUAUUUUUUAUAUUUUUCUUUAUCUUUCUAUCCAGGGAAGCAGAGGAAAAAAGUAGAGACACGAUAGGGAGGAGCGAGAGAUGCAUACUGGCGUCGACAACAAUGGGAUGAUUCCGAUGGAGAUAGACGGCACGGAAGAGAAGUCACAGUUGUAGCGCCGAAAGCGGCCAGCAACGGUCUUGGGGCGAUAAUUCUGUAUGCUCUGCUUAUAGUCUUCUUUGUUUGGUGUGGAGUUGUUGAUGCAGAAAAUCCAGAACCUCAUUGUUGUUGCUGGGAUUCUAUUUGCAUUUCGCUAAAAGAGUAAUUUAGGAACUAAGACAAAAGAAGUUCUUGCUGUGUAGCUACUGUGGAAGGGUUUAGGAUUUUGUCCCAGAGUAAUUGAUGGGAUCAUCGGUAUAUUUGCUAUUCAAGUGUGUUUAAUUAACUGCUCUAUUUAAAAUUUUUGUUUUCUGCCUUUGAAUUAGAUUCUGCAUUGAUUUUUUGCUUUUCUCAUUUACUGAUGUCACUAUUAAGGGUAGAAAAUAGAAGAGGAUAAUAAUGAUCAUGCUUAGUAAAAUGUAUAAUAGUGAUUAUAAUUAUAAUUACCGAGAGUGCCAAUACCGAAUUAGUACUUAGUACAUGGCACUACUAGCCUCUAUCAAGUAUAAGAGCAAUUUUGCUGGCGUUGAUUUCAUGUUUAAUAUGACUUUUAGAGGGUGCCAGGUUUUCCUUCCUCUUAGAUAAAGGAACUAAUUAGCUUUAGGGCAAUUUGUACCCUAUGAAACUUUGAAAGUUUUAUACUUAUGUUAACUUUACUACAAGAUUCGUUCUUCUUUCUAUGCUUAAUAUUGCGUGCAUCUUAUUUUGAAUUAAUAUUGUUACCAUAGAAUAUAAAAUAGAGAGAAAUCUAUUAACAGAAUACAACUUGAGCAGUCAAUUUCCGUGAUGUUCAUUUGGACUCAGCGUUUAAACGUUUUAACCAGUAUGUGUUAUUACUGGGAGAAUCCUUGGGCAGGUAUAUUAUUCAACCAUAUUUCUUUCAUGUUUCAUAAUAUCUAUAACGGACUAAUUUGAGUAUUCUUACAAUAUCAAGGCAAUAUUUGGAAAAGGAGAUCCUCUCAACAACUUUUUCUUUUUUUUUUUUAUGCUUUUGAUGGGAAGGAAAUUAUAGAGAAUAUUCCCAAUUUAAAUACUCUGAUAAUUUAUGACUGAAGCACCACAAACCUUAAGAGUGGAAAGUUAACACUGUCCAGAACCAGAAGAAAUAGACCCUUUUAAGUGCACAAUGUUCUGGUUAUUGUUAGCUAUUAAUUUAUAUUUUUAGUUGCUAAUUUAUUUAGGCUAAUUUCAAUUUACUGUUAGAGUUUUCUUGCUGUAGUAGAUACAAAUGAAACGAUUAUUUGUUGUACGUGGGCAUUAGGCAAUCUAUAAACAUGUUUCUUUGAAGUAACGAAACCCGAUGGUUAAAGCCUUUUCUUUAAGGAGAACCGUGGUUGGUAAACGUGAUGUAUAUGUUUUUAUAUAAAUCACAAACUCAAAUUUCAUUCUCACCUUCCCUCUCAUAUGGUACUCAUGUCAAUCUUUUAUAAUAUUUUAGUAUCUUGUGGCUUUUUUGAAUGAAAGUUGCUAUUUACAUAUCAGUUUGUGAAAUUACUUUUCACUAUAUGCUCUGAAUCCAAUAUCAUCGAUUUAGACUCUUUUUGUCGAUGAAAAAAAAAAGAACUGAUGAUAGGAAGUUAAUCUCAUGAAGAACAGACUCUAUUAGCUUCUAUUGAUAUAGGAUGAGAGCAGACAAAUUGGAUAGUGUUGCAUUAUGGACUGAAUAUUUCUCACUUUUUUUCUCAUAUGAUUCAAUUUAGUUUAUAUCAUAUUAAGUUUAUCUUCUCAAAUUUUGAUUUAACCAUUUUAAUUGUGAGAUGGUCUUGAUAAUGAUGUUGUCUUGAUAUGUGAGAAUUUCUGCUUAUUGUUUUUGAAAAAAAUAAUUGAUGAAAAUUCAUCUCAUGUUCAUCUUAUAGCAAUUUUGUUUGGUUGAAUCUCAUUGUUUAUUUUUGUUCAUUUUUUACUUGCUUUAUUUUUUAGCAUUUUAGUUUUUGGUAUUAAAGCUUUCAAAAGUAUAUUUUCCUUUUUUUUUUCUUAAAAAGGGGAAAAAUAAAAAAAGAACAAUGGGUUUGGUACAUAAGAGUUUUGAAACAAAUGUAAAAAUUGAAAAAUAAGGGACAUGAUGAGAUGAUUUUGUAUAGUUUUCAUGAUUUGGAAAAAAUAAAAAAAGUUUAUUAUUAUAAUACAAAUUGAGUUGUACCUUGACUUUAAAUUUUUUAGUAUUUGUGUUGAUUUUUAAAC